GACCUUGUAUCUCAGAUGGUAGAGCAUCGUUCUAGAAAUACGAAGGUCGCGGGUUCGAAUCCCAGCCGCGGUCA
rnacentral:tRNA from 1 species